rnacentral:misc_RNA from 1 species
UUUCCGUUGGUGAACCAGCGGAAGGAUCAUUACAGAGAUCAUGCCCUCUAAGGGUAGACCUCCCACCCUGUGUUAAUACUCUUGUUGCUUUGGCAGGCCGCCUUCGGGCUCUCGGCUCCGGCUGAGGUGCGCCUGCCAGAGGACCCCAACUCUUUUGUUUAUGUGUCGUCUGAGUACUAUAUAAUAAGUUAAAACUUUCAACAACGGAUCUCUUGGUUCUGGCAUCGAUGAAGAACGCAGC